CAGUCGCCGCGGGAAAACGAAGGGGGCUAGCGUUGUUCGGAUUUACUGGGCGUAAAACGCACGUAGGCGGACUUUUAAGUCAGGGGUGAAAUCCCGGGGCUCAACCCCGGAACUGCCUUUGAUACUGGGAGUCUUGAGUUCGAGAGAGGUGAGUGGAAUUGCGAGUGUAGAGGUGAAAUUCGUAGAUAUUCGCAGGAACACCAGUGGCGAAGGCGGCUCACUGGCUCGAUACUGACGCUGAGGUGCGAAAGCGUGGGGAGCAAACAGGAUUAGAUACCCCGGUAGUCCCUGUCUCUUAUAC
rnacentral:rRNA from 1 species